CCAGCCACACUGGAACUGAGACACGGUCCAGACUCCUACGGGAGGCAGCAGUGGGGAAUAUUGCACAAUGGGCGCAAGCCUGAUGCAGCCAUGCCGCGUGUGUGAAGAAGGCCUUCGGGUUGUAAAGCACUUUCAGCGGGGAGGAAGGCGAUAAGGUUAAUAACCUUGUCGAUUGACGUUACCCGCAGAAGAAGCACCGGCUAACUCCGUGCCAGCAGCCGCGGUAAUACGGAGGGUGCAAGCGUUAAUCGGAAUUACUGGGCGUAAAGCGCACGCAGGCGGUCUGUCAAGUCGGAUGUGAAAUCCCCGGGCUCAACC
rnacentral:rRNA from 1 species